rnacentral:rRNA from 1 species
CGCGUAGGCGGCCGAACAGGUCAGGUGUGAAAGCCCGGGGCUUAACCCCGGAAGUGCAUUUGAAACCUUUUGGCUUGAGUAUGGGAGAGGAGAGCGGAAUUCCUGGUGUAGAGGUGAAAUUCGUAGAUAUCAGGAGGAACACCGGUGGCGAAGGCGGCUCUCUGGACCAAUACUGACGCUGAGGCGCGAAGGCGUGGGUAGCAAACA